UACGGAGGGUGCAAGCGUUGCUCGGAAUCACUGGGCGUAAAGGGUGCGUAGGCGGGUCUUUAAGUCAGGGGUGAAAUCCUGGAGCUCAACUCCAGAACUGCCUUUGAUACUGAGGAUCUUGAGUUCGGGAGAGGUGAGUGGAACUGCGAGUGUAGAGGUGAAAUUCGUAGAUAUUCGCAAGAACACCAGUGGCGAAGGCGGCUCACUGGCCCGAUACUGACGCUGAGGCACGAAAGCGUGGGGAGCAAACAGG
rnacentral:rRNA from 1 species